GUGAGGAAUCUUCCACAAUGGGCGAAAGCCUGAUGGAGCAACGCCGCGUGAAGGAUGAAGGUCUUCGGAUUGUAAACUUCUUUUAUGAGUGAAGAAUAUGACGGUAACUCAUGAAUAAGCACCGGCUAACUACGUGCCAGCAGCCGCGGUCAUACGUAGGGUGCAAGCAUUAUCUGGAGUGACUGGGCGUAAAGAGUUGCGUAGGCGGUUAUGUAAGCUAAUAGUGAAACCUGGUGGCUCAACCACACAGACUAUUAUUCGAACUGCAUAACUCGAGAAUGGUAGAGGUAACUGGAAUUUCUUGUGUAGGAGUGAAAUCCGUAGAUAUAAGAAGGAACACCAAUGGCGUAGGCAGGUUACUGGGCCAUUUCUGACGCUAAGGCACGAAAGCGUGGGGAGCGAACCGGAUUAGAUACCCUGGUAGUCC
rnacentral:rRNA from 1 species